rnacentral:rRNA from 1 species
UACGUAGGGUGCAAGCGUUAAUCGGAAUUACUGGGCGUAAAGCGUGCGCAGGCGGCUUUGCAAGACAGAUGUGAAAUCCCCCGGGCUCAACCUGGGAACUGCAUUUGUGACUGCACGGCUGGAGUGCGGCAGAGGGGGAUGGAAUUCCGCGUGUAGCAGUGAAAUGCGUAGAUAUGCGGAGGAACACCGAUGGCGAAGGCAAUCCCCCUGGGCCUGCACUGACGCUCAUGCACGAAAGCGUGGGGAGCAAACAGG